rnacentral:rRNA from 1 species
GACGAACGCUGGCGGCGUGCCUAAUACAUGCAAGUCGAACGCUGAAGGAGGAGCUUGCUUCUCUGGAUGAGUUGCGAACGGGUGAGUAACGCGUAGGUAACCUGCCUCUUAGCGGGGGAUAACUAUUGGAAACGAUAGCUAAUACCGCAUAAGAGUAGAUGUUGCAUGACAUUUGCUUAAAAGGUGCAAUUGCAUCACUACCAGAUGGACCUGCGUUGUAUUAGCUAGUUGGUGAGGUAAAGGCUCACCAAGGCGACGAUACAUAGCCGACCUGAGAGGGUGAUCGGGCACACCGGGAAUGAGACAAGGGCCAGAAUCCUACGGGAGGCAGCAGUAGGGAAUCCUUGGCAAUGGACGGAAGUCUGAACGAGCAAAGCCGCGUGAGUGAAGAAGGUUUUCGGAUCGUAAAGCUCUGUUGUAAGAGAAGAAAGAGUGUGAGAGUGGAAAGUUCACACUGUGACGGUAUCUUACCAGAAAGGGACGGCUAACUACGUG